UACGUAGGGUGCAAGCGUUAAUCGGAAUUACUGGGCGUAAAGCGUGCGCAGGCGGCUUUGCAAGACAGAUGUGAAAUCCCCGGGCUUAACCUGGGAACUGCAUUUGUGACUGCAUGGCUGGAGUGCGGCAGAGGGGAUGGAAUUCCGCGUGUAGCAGUGAAAUGCGUAGAUAUGCGGAGGAACACCGAUGGCGAAGGCAAUCCCUGGACCUGUACUGACGCUCAUGCACGAAAGCGUGGGGAGCAACAGG
rnacentral:rRNA from 1 species